GGCUUUUGCAAACAUCACAAGCAGACAGCUCUGAGGACAGCCACAGUGGAUCUCCUGAAUUAGCUCACCAGGGAAAUCAGAGACCAACUAUGGCUUGGCUUUUCCCCAGAACCACAGGGGCUCUGGCUGUUUUAAUGGUGGUGGUGUUGGUUCAUGGAGAAUUGCAAA
rnacentral:lncRNA from 1 species